AUUGAACGCUGGCGGAAUGCUUUACACAUGCAAGUCGAGCGGCAGCACGGGGGCAACCCCGGUGGCGAGCGGCGAACGGGUGAGUAAUACAUCGGAACAUGCCCAGUCGUGGGGGAUAACACUUCGAAAGAAGUGCUAAUACCGCAUACGUCCUGAGGGAGAAAGCGGGGGAUCUUCGGACCUCGCGCGAUUGGAGUGGCCGAUGUCAGAUUAGCUAGUUGGUGGGGUAAAGGCCUACCAAGGCAACGAUCUGUAGCUGGUCUGAGAGGAUGAUCAGCCACACUGGGACUGAGACACGGCCCAGACUCCUACGGGAGGCAGCAGUGGGGAAUUUUGGACAAUGGGGGCAACCCUGGUCCAGCCAUUCCGCGUGAGUGAAGAAGGCCUUCGGGUUGUAAAGCUCUUUCGGCAGGAACGAAACGGCGAGCUCUAACAUAGCUUGCUAAUGACGGUACCUGAAGAAGAAGCACCGGCUAACUACGUGCCAGCAGCCGCGGUAAAAC
rnacentral:rRNA from 1 species